GGCCCCGUAGCUCAGGUGGAUAGAGCGCGGGAUUCCUAAUCCCGAGGCCACAGGUUCGAGUCCUGUCGGGGCCA
rnacentral:tRNA from 1 species